CACCGCGUCAACUCUUGGCAGCUGUCAGAGCACCCCUCCCCCUCUUCCAGGCAACUUCUUCCAACAGCCCCCUCUGAUGGACCCCAACUCUCCUCUCUCACGCCUCGCCCAUACAGCGAGGCACAAAGAAAUCUCAGUCUCUCCAUAAACUUUGUGCUUCCAGUUAUGCCGCCCCCUCCCCUAGCCUACACCCCCACCCUGCCAGCUUCUUGGCAGGAAGGUUAGGCCACUGGCAAAAUCCUCAGCGAGAGCCAGCUGAUCACAAAUGCCAACUGUGUGUCUUGGGGCCAGUUAAGUCCUCUCAUCUGCCCCAGCUCUCAGGAGACCAUUUCAUUGCUCUCAAGGUUCCCAGGAGACCGCUGCGGACACGGACCAUCCUCUACUUGGCCCGCAAGGAUGGGUUGCUGAGCGGAAUCCCAAAAGCGCUCUUUCUCACCUCGAAUUUUCAUUUUUAGAUUGUAAAAAAUCCGAAUUUGGAGACAGGCAGAUAUUUUUCACACAUCAAAAAGCAGGACCAUCAGCUAGGUGAUUAGCCCCAGGUGGGAAAUGAGCCAUCUCUAAUGAGAAUACUGACUUUUUGAAGAAGUCUGUGGAAGUUCUGAAGUCCUACCCCAGCCCCAUGACCUUUCGUUCGUUUAGUUCUUCUGCCACAGGGAAGCAGCCAGCGACUAAUGAAAGAUUUGAUCUUGCAAUAAUUUCCCAAGCAGAUGUGGGUAAGGAGAGUAAUGACAAGGAGGAGGUUCCAAGAGGUCAUAGCCUGGGGCUACAGAGAAGAAAUGACAAGGAAAAAUAAAGAAAGGGAAGAAGGAAGAAAAGAAGGAUUUAUACUUAUGUCCCAGGUGUUGCCUGACUUCUUUGCCUCUUGCUCAAAGAGGACAUAGAUAUUCUUUUUUUUCUUUUUAAAGAUUUUAUUUUUUUCCUUUUUCUCCCCAAAGCCCCCCGGUACAUAGUUGUAUAUUCUUUGUUGUGGGUCCUUCUAGCAGUGGCAUGUGGGACGCCGCCUCAGCGUGGCCUGAUGAACAGUGCCAUGUCCGCGCCCAGGAUUCGAACCAACGAAACACUGGGCCGCCUGCAGCAGAGCACGUGAACCUAACCACUCGGCCACGGGGCCAGCCCCGACAUAGAUAUUUUUAAAUUAAUUCACUUCCAAACCUUGUCUUCCCUGAGUGUGUAUUCUCUCAUAAUGCGGGUCUGUCUGAAAAUAUGCUGAGAUGUAUUUUGCAUUCUUUUCCUAC
rnacentral:lncRNA from 1 species